rnacentral:rRNA from 1 species
GAUGAACGCUGGCGGCGUGCCUAAUACAUGCAAGUCGUGCGAACAGACGAGGAGCUUGCUCCUCUGACGUUAGCGGCGGACGGGUGAGUAACACGUGGAUAACCUACCUAUAAGACUGGGAUAACUUCGGGAAACCGGAGCUAAUACCGGAUAAUAUAUUGAACCGCAUGGUUCAAUAGUGAAAGACGGUUUUGCUGUCACUUAUAGAUGGAUCCGCGCCGCAUUAGCUAGUUGGUAAGGUAACGGCUUACCAAGGCAACGAUGCGUAGCCGACCUGAGAGGGUGAUCGGCCACACUGGAACUGAGACACGGUCCAGACGCCUACGGGAGGCAGCAGUAGGGAAUCUUCCGCAAUGGGCGAAAGCCGGACGGAGCAACGCCGCGUGAGUGAUGAAGGUCUUCGGAUCGUAAAACUCUGUUAGUAGGGAAGAACAAAUGUGUAAGUAACUAUGCACGUCUUGACGGUACCUAAUCAGAAAGCCACGGCUAACUACGUG